GGGACUGCUAGGUUUCUACAUGUUAAUAUAAUUAAUAAUAAAUUAAUAAAAAAAUUAAGAAACUUUAUAAGUUUAUUUAAAUAAAAGCAAAAAAACAAAUCGUUCUAUUCUCUCAAAAUUUAAUCUUAGUAUAAUUAGAUUGAUUUGAGUUUUCAAAAUAUAUUUCUAAGCAUAUAUUUUGAUAAGUUAUUUAUACUUAGUGCUCUUGAAUAUUGAUUAGAUACAUAUUUUCAUUUUUUCAAGUUAAGUUCUCUCUGGUAUUUAACAUGUAUUAGUUAAUUAAUUUUUUUUUAUGUUAACAUGGACGUGGGUUCAAUUCCCACCAGUUCCA
rnacentral:tmRNA from 1 species